GUUCAAUACUCAUACCAACGGGUGCGAAAGAUACUGAUGAACCUUAGCAACAUCAAAAUCAGUUGGAUGAUUCUGUCACAAGUAAUGUGCUUG